UCCAAAGGUACGAAAAUAACCCUUAACAUUUUUUCUUUUUUUCUUUCUUUGCCCUAAAUCUCUCUCUCUCUCUCUCUUUCCCGCCCUCUCUCUCAACGAUGAUCUCCUUCUCACUUCACGGCAUUAUCUCCUCCAAUUAUCUGUCCAUUCUCUAGUGACACCGGUAACGACGACGAAGCUCUUCUCUCCUACAAUGCGUAAGAAUUUUAAUAUCUCUGCUGCUUUAAUCACUCCGAUCGUGCCAAGGGUUUCAGUGGAGGAACAAGUUCACCCGAUUGGCCACUGAGGACCGCCGGAGCGAAUUCGACACCAUAUCGGAAGCUACCGAGGAUGCCAAAGUCGUAGAAGAUGAAGAGAAAAGUCAAACAUUGGCCAAGAUAAUUGAUGCUACAGAUUUGUUAUAAAAGAAUGUAGGAGUACACUGAAGGUGACCCAGAAUUUGACAUUAUGAUCCUUGUUUCUUAUUACUGUUUGGUUAGUGAGAAUGUGAGUGUAAUUAUCAUUCUCCUUUCUUUUCUACAUAAACCUAUUGCAUAAAUAUAUAUUAAUGGUCUUAGUAAAUUAAUCUUGAUAAAGUUGUUGCUCCUGCUUAUGGUUGCAAGUGCCAUAUGUGAGGUAGGGCUGGCAAUUCGUGUAAACGUGUCAGAUUCGUGUCGACACGAUUAUGACACGACAUGAUUAAGGUAAACACGAAUACGACACGAUUAUUAAACGUGUCAAAAAUACGAACACGAACACGACACGAUUAUUAAACGGGUCAACACGACACGACACGAACACGAUAACAUGAUUAUGACACGAUUAAUCAUAACUAUACGAAAAAAAAUCAUCAAACCUAUGUAAAGUAAUCGUGUUAUCGUGUCUGACACGAUUAUGACAUAACACGAUUAUUAAAUGGGUCAACGCGAAUAUGACACGACACGAUUAAGGUAAACACGAACACAACACGAUUAUUAAACGUGUCGUGUUCAUGUUUACUUUAAUCGUGUCGUGACCCAAAUUGCCACCCGUAAUGUGAGGUUAUUCCAUAUGAUGCUGGUUCUAUUGAGAAAGCAAGCUAAUAUUCAGAUCAGAACUUCUCUUGUUAACAGAUGAAAAUGUUGAUUUUUCCACCGAUCAUUUUUCUCUUUUGAUUAUUGCCUUUGAUAUUUAUUUUGGUACCUUUCUUUUAAAACAUUUUCCCUGUCAAUCACCUUAUUAUAUUCUUAAGCUGUGAGGGGUACUGGACCAAAAAUUUUAGGAGCAGAGACAGAAGAAAAACUUGGAGAUAUAAAACAGCCUUUAAUUACUAUUAUAGACUCAUUGUUGGCCUUUGAGUAACGACAUCUAUUUAUUAUUUACCUUUAGAAGUAAUUUACCUUAAACAUUUUAAAUCUACUGUGAUUUUAUUACUAUUGAAAAUAUUGUACUCUAUAAAAUCUGAUUAUGGUUGCAAGUGUCAUAUGGAGUAUUACUAAUUUGAUUUCUUAUUGUUGGACCGAGGAUGAGGAGUUGUAAACAACAGAGUUUAAACCUAUAUUGAGAGGAGAUGAUUCAGGUAUGGAUGCAUUACAUAUUAAUGCUAGGCAAUUGAAGAGGAAGGUUGAAGAAGGAGGAGAGAAUAUCUACAAAGUCCAGCUAGCAUGUGUCUUCAUUCCCUUGUAUUCACCAAUUAUUUACUCUGAAGAACUACAUGUCCCCUGCUUGGAAGUGUGAGAUGAAGCCAUUGAAAAAGAAAAAGGUCUCAUGAGGAAUAAGCUUUCAAAGAUUAAUAAGAAUAAGGAUCGUAUGAGCUUUCACAGAGUUUUAAUAUCACUUAAGGAUUACUAUUAGCCAUCGUAUGAGGUAAUGAAGAUGGCUAUACAAGAUUUGGAUGCUUGCAAUUAACAAAGAGAAAGCAUGGGACAAAUGUUACAAUUUGUAUUUUAUACUUGCUAGACCUUAUAUUCUAAGCAAGCGUGAGUACUUUUAUUAUGGUAUAUUUUGUACUUAAGUGUUUUUUAUUUGGAACACAUGUAUUGAAUGUUUUGGUUAAUACAAGAAAAUACAUUAGACUUG